GACGAACGCUGGCGGCGUGCCUAAUACAUGCAAGUAGAACGCUGAAGAGAGGAGCUUGCUCUUCUUGGAUGAGUUGCGAACGGGUGAGUAACGCGUAGGUAACCUGCCUUGUAGCGGGGGAUAACUAUUGGAAACGAUAGCUAAUACCGCAUAACAAUGGAUGACACAUGUCAUUUAUUUGAAAGGGGCAAUUGCUCCACUACAAGAUGGACCUGCGUUGUAUUAGCUAGUAGGUGAGGUAAUGGCUCACCUAGGCGACGAUACAUAGCCGACCUGAGAGGGUGAUCGGCCACACUGGGACUGGGAAACGGCCCAGACUCCUACGGGAGGCAGCAGUAGGGAAACUUCGGGAAUGGGGGCAAACCUGACCGAGCAACGCCGCGUGAGUGAAGAAGGUUUUCGGAUCGUAAAGCUCUGUUGUAAGUCAAGAACGGGUGUGAGAGUGGAAAGUUCACACUGUGACGGUAGCUUACCAGAAAGGGACGGCUAACUACGUG
rnacentral:rRNA from 1 species